rnacentral:rRNA from 1 species
CAGCAGCCACGGGAAUACGUAGGUGGCAAGCGUUGUCCGGAAUUAUUGGGCGUAAAGGGCUCGCAGGCGGUUUCUUAUGUCUGAUGUGAAAGCCCCCGGCUCAACCGGGGAGGGUCAUUGGAAACUGGGAAACUUGAGUGCAGAAGAGGAGAGUGGAAUUCCACGUGUAGCGGUGAAAUGCGUAGAGAUGUGGAGGAACACCAGUGGCGAAGGCGACUCUCUGGUCUGUAACUGACGCUGAGGAGCGAAAGCGUGGGGAGCGAACAGGAUUAGAUACCCCAGUAGUCCCUGUCUCUUAUAC